UACGAAGGGGGCUAGCGUUGCUCGGAAUCACUGGGCGUAAAGCGCACGCAGGCGGACUCUUAAGUCGGUGGUGAAAUCCUGGAGCUCAACUCCAGAACUGCCUUCGAUACUGAGAGUCUCGAGUCCGGGAGAGGUGAGUGGAACUGCGAGUGUAGAGGUGAAAUUCGUAGAUAUUCGGAAGAACACCAGUGGCGAAGGCGGCUCACUGGACUGGUAUUGACGCUGAGGUGCGAAAGUGUGGGGAGCAAACAGG
rnacentral:rRNA from 1 species